UGGGGAAUAUUGCGCAAUGGGGGCAACCCUGACGCAGCAACGCCGCGUGUGUGAUGAAGGCCCUCGGGUCGUAAAGCACUGUGGGGUAGAACGAGCCGCCGAGGGUGAAUAUCCUUCGGCCCGACGGUACUACCAGAGGAAGCACCGGCUAACCCUGUGCCAGCAGCCGCGGUAAUACAGGGGGUGCAAGCGUUGUUCGGAAUUAUUGGGCGUAAAGCGCGUGUAGGCGGACCGUUAAGUCUGGUGUGAAAUCCCUCGGCUCAACUGAGGACGUGCAUUGGAUACUGGCGGUCUUGAGUCCUGGAGAGGGUAGCGGAAUUCCCAGUGUAGAGGUGAAAUUCGUAGAUAUUGGGAGGAACACCGGUGGCGAAGGCGGCUACCUGGACAGUGACUGACGCUGAGACGCGAAAGCAUGGGUAGCAAACAG
rnacentral:rRNA from 1 species